GCUUCUAUAGUCCAGUGGAAUGGACGUCUCCUUUACACGGAGAAGGUCCUCGGUUCGAUCCCGAGUAGAAGCA